AAAAAAGCGAUGAUGGAAACGAGUAAGCCCACAGCAGGCUGACAGCGAACCCGGGAAAGGUGUGAGCCGGGGCGGCGCGCGGGGCUGAAAAUCCUUCCGGAGCUGCGACCUGAACCCCCCUUGGCCGGGUCAGUAGGGAAGCCGGGUUCGCCCCCCGUUAGCCGCGGCGCUGGUGUUCACCGCCUUUGGGCGCGCGCACCGGGCAAAGGUGCUGGCAGCUUGCCUGCCAGAAUCAGGGUGGUACCGCGGAUUGUCUUCCGUCCCUGUG
rnacentral:ncRNA from 1 species